rnacentral:rRNA from 1 species
CAGCCGCCGCGGUAAUACAGAGGGUGCGAGCGUUAAUCGGAUUUACUGGGCGUAAAGCGUGCGUAGGCGGCUAAUUGAGUCGGAUGUGAAAUCCCCGAGCUUAACUUGGGAAUUGCAUUCGAUACUGGGAAGCUAGAGUAUGGGAGAGGAUGGUAGAAUUCCAGGUGUAGCGGUGAAAUGCGUAGAGAUCUGGAGGAAUACCGAUGGCGAAGGCAGCCAUCUGGCCUAAUACUGACGCUGAGGUACGAAAGCAUGGGGAGCAAACAGGAUUAGAUACCCCUGUAGUCCCUGUCUCUUAUAC